GAUGAACGCUAGCGGCAGGCCUAAUACAUGCAAGACGAACGGUAAGUUGAGUAGCAAUACUUAGCCAAGAGUGUCGUACGGGUGCGUAACACGUAUGCAACCUACCCUAUACAGGAGGAUAGCCUAGGGAAACCUGGAUUAACCCUUCAUAGUAUUAUUGGAUGGCAUCAUUUGAUAAUUAAAACUGAGGUGGUAUAGGAUGGGCAUGCGUCUGAUUAGUUAGUUGGCGGGGUAAUGGCCCACCAAGACGAUGAUCAGUAGGGGUUCUGAGAGGAAGAUCCCCCACACUGGCACUGAGAUACGGGCCAGACUCCUACGGGAGGCAGCAGUAGGGAAUAUUGGACAAUGGGUGUAAGCCUGAUCCAGCCAUGCCGCGUGCAGGAAGAAGGCCUUCUGGGUUGUAAACUGCUUUUGCCGGGGGAUAAAAGAUCCAUGCGUGGAGAA
rnacentral:rRNA from 1 species